rnacentral:rRNA from 1 species
UACGGGGGGAGCAAGCGUUGUUCGGAUUUACUGGGCGUAAAGGGCGCGUAGGCGGUCAGCACAAGUCAGUUGUGAAAUCUCCGGGCUUAACUCGGAAAGGUCAACUGAUACUGUGCGACUAGAGUGCAGAAGGGGCAACUGGAAUUCUCGGUGUAGCGGUGAAAUGCGUAGAUAUCGAGAGGAACACCUGCGGCGAAGACGGGUUGCUGGGCCAACACUGACGCUGAUGCGCGAAAGCCAGGGGAGCAAACGGG